AACACAAUUCCCUGGUUUAUUUAAGUGCAAUAAACUAAAUAUAAUUCAAGAAAUAACGACUCAUCACUCGAUAUCGUUCUUCCCAAGAGACUCGAAAGGCCUUAUCGUUCGUGCGAAUCGAAAUCGUAAGACUUGUAGAGAAAAAUUAAUUGUUUGGAAUGUAAAGACAGAAAAUAAACAUGCAAUGCGUUUGAUUCAAUUGACAAGAAAAAGACUAUGGAUGAAUGGAGUUGUUGGGGGUUUACAAUUUCAUCUUAUCCGCCCUCUCUUAUCUACUCCUCUUGUUUAAAUUGCUUUGUUAUCUAAUUGUUAUGCAAACUUUCUUGGCCUACCCUUAACCCGAUCCCUCGACGAGAAGAGCUUAUUACUAAUUACUGGUUUUCUAUCCCUAGCCUCCCCUAGCAACUAGCAAUGCAUUACCGAACAAAAGCAAAAACAAUUGAUCGUCCUACCUCCCUAUCCCUAGGUGGUAUUUCAUUAAUC
rnacentral:lncRNA from 1 species